GAUGAAGAACGUAGCGAAAUGCGAUACGUAAUGUGAAUUGCAGAAUUCAGUGAAUCAUCGAAUCUUUGAACGCAUAUUGCGCUCUCUGGUAUUCCGGAGAGCAUGCUUGUUUGAGUAUCAGUAAACACCUCAACUUCCAUAACUUUUUUGAAAUGGGAGUUGGACUUGAGUGAUCCCAACGCUUUUCCUCACCGAAAAGUGGCGGGUUACUUGAAAUGCAGGUGCAGCUGGACUUUUCUCUGAGCUAUAAGCAUAUCUAUUUAGUCUGCCUAAAAACAGAUUAUUACCUUUGCUGCAGCUAACAUAAAGGAGAUUAGUUCUUGUGCUGACUGAUGCAGGAUUCACAAAGACAGGCUUCGGCCGACUUUGUAAACUCGAUCUCAAAUCAAGUAAGACUACCCGCUGAACUUAAGCAUAUCAAUAAGCGGAGGA
rnacentral:misc_RNA from 1 species